UCAGCAGGAUGUUUUUGGAUUCAGGUCUCU
rnacentral:piRNA from 1 species